AUUGAACGCUGGCGGCAGGCUUAAUACAUGCAAGUCGUGGGGCAGCAGGUUUGUAGCAAUACAGAUGCUGGCGACCGGCAAACGGGUGCGGAACACGUACACAACCUUCCUUCAAGUGGGGAAUAGCCCAGAGAAAGAUGGAUUAUUACUACGUAACAUUAUGAUGUGGCAUCACAUUAUAAUUAUAGCUACGGCGCUUAAUGAUGGGUGUUCGGCUGCUUAGGUAGUUGGCGGGGUAACGGCCAACCAAGCCUGCGAUGAGUAUCUGGUAUGAGGGCACGACCAGUCACACGGGAGCUGCGACACGGGCCCGACUCCUACGGGGGGCAGCAGUAAGGUAUAUUGGGCAAUGGAGGAAACUCUGACCCAGCCAUGCCGCGUGGGGGAUGAAGGUCCUCUGGAUUGUAAACUUCUUUUAUAUGGGACGAAAAAGGGUCUUUCUAGGUCAACUGACGGUACCAUAUGAAUAAGCACCGGCUAACUCCGUGCCAGCCGCCGCGGUAACAC
rnacentral:rRNA from 1 species